rnacentral:rRNA from 1 species
AGCGAACGUUAGCGGCGGGCCUAACACAUGCAAGUCGAACGCGAAAGGUCUUCGGACUGAUUAGAGUGGCGCACGGGUGAGUAACACGUAGGUAAUCUACCCUUUGGCGGGGGAUAACGUUCCGAAAGGAGCGCUAAUACCGCAUAAGACCACGGAGUCUCCGGACGCUGUGGGAAAAGGUGGCCUCUUCUUGAAAGCUAUCACCGGAGGAUGAGCCUGCGUCCCAUCAGCUAGUUGGUAAGGUAAUGGCUUACCAAGGCAAAGACGGGUAGCUGGUUUGAGAGAAUGAUCAGCCACACUGGCACUGGAACACGGGCCAGACUCCUACGGGAGGCAGCAGUGAGGAAUAUUGGGCAAUGGGCGAAAGCCUGACCCAGCCACGCCGCGUGAGUGAUGAAGGCCCUCGGGUCGUAAAGCUCUGUGGAGAGGGACGAAAACCUGGGGUCUAAUAGGCCCCGGACUUGACGGUACCUCUUAGCAAGCACCGGCUAACUCUGUGCCAGCAGCCGACGG